GACGAGCCUCACAAACGUUAUUCGGGAUUACUGGGCUUAAAGGGUGCGUAGGCGGCGCGGAAAGUUGGGUGUGAAAUCCCUCGGCUCAACCGAGGAACUGCGCCCAAAACUACCGUGCUCGAGGAAGAUAGAGGUGAGCGGAACUCACGGUGGAGCGGUGAAAUGCGUUGAUAUCGUGAGGAACACCCGUGGCGAAAGCGGCUCACUGGGUCUUUUCUGACGCUGAUGCACGAAAGCUAGGGGAGCAAACGGG
rnacentral:rRNA from 1 species